rnacentral:rRNA from 1 species
CAGCAGCCACGGUAAUACGGAGGGUGCAAGCGUUAAUCGGAAUUACUGGGCGUAAAGCGCACGCAGGCGGUUUGUUAAGUCAGAUGUGAAAUCCCCGAGCUUAACUUGGGAACUGCAUUUGAAACUGGCAAGCUAGAGUCUUGUAGAGGGGGGUAGAAUUCCAGGUGUAGCGGUGAAAUGCGUAGAGAUCUGGAGGAAUACCGGUGGCGAAGGCGGCCCCCUGGACAAAGACUGACGCUCAGGUGCGAAAGCGUGGGGAGCAAACAGGAUUAGAUACCCGCGUAGUCCCGUCUCUUAUACA